GUGAUGCUUCCUAAGGCCCAGUCGACUUCACACUCCAGGAUGUCUGGCUCUAGGGUCCAGCAAGACACAGACGGCACACUCAAAACAGGUGGAUUCAAAGAUGGUUUUUGCACAGACUGUUUGUGAAGAUGUAGGAGAAGGGAACCCCGAGGGUCCAUCCUGCACUCAAGCUGGGCUUCACCAAGUCAACAUGGUUACCACAAGGAGCGGUGCAAGAAUUUCUGGAGGCAAAACGCACAGGAGGAUGAGUUGCAGAGCCAGAAACAAAAACCAGGAGAGAAGGUGAGCGAGCCGGCUGAGGGGUGUCGUGGAAGAGUCCAGCACAUGUGGAUUCUCCUGCAACCUGCUUUUUCAGUUAAUACCAUCUUUUUGGGAUUCAUCAAUGUUUAUGUGUUUAAUUGCAGUUCAUUCAGUUUUGCUGUUGUUUUUUAUAUUCCACUGUGGGAAUGGAUUACAGUUAAUUUACUGUUUUCCUGAUGAUGGCAACUUUCCAAUGUUUUAAUAUCUUGAUGUUGAUAUAAACAUUCUUGUCAAUGUUUUUUGAUGUCUAUGUACAAAAAUCUCUCCAGAGAAUAUACUUACAGUAGAAUUACAAUACGAGUUACAGUACUAGGACAAAUGGUCAAAUUUGCCAGAUGAUGUCAUAUUGUUCUCAAAGUAGUUUCAUCAAUUAAUACUUCUACUGGCAGUAUAUGAGUUCCU